UACGUAGGGUGCGAGCGUUAAUCGGAAUUACUGGGCGUAAAGCGUGCGCAGGCGGCGCGUUAAGACAGGUGUGAAAGCCCCGAGCUUAACUUGGGAAUUGCGCUUGUGACUGGCGUGCUGGAGUGUGGCAGAGGGAGGUGGAAUUCCACGUGUAGCAGUGAAAUGCGUAGAGAUGUGGAGGAACACCGAUGGCGAAGGCAGCCUCCUGGGCCAGCACUGACGCUCAUGCACGAAAGCGUGGGGAGCAAACAGU
rnacentral:rRNA from 1 species